rnacentral:rRNA from 1 species
GUUAGCUAGUUGGUGGGGUAAAGGCCUACCAAGGCGACGAUCAGUAGCGGGUCUGAGAGGAUGAUCCGUCACACUGGAACUGAGACACGGUCCAGACUCCUACGGGAGGCAGCAGUGGGGAAUUUUGGACAAUGGGGGCAACCCUGAUCCAGCCAUUCCGCGUGAGUGAAGAAGGCCUUCGGGUUGUAAAGCUCUUUCAGUUGGAACGAAACGGUACGCUCUAACAUAGCGUGCUAAUGACGGUACCGACAGAAGAAGCACCGGCUAACUACGUGCCAGCAGCCGCGGUAAUACGUAGAGUGCGAGCGUUAAUCGGAAUUACUGGGCGUAAAGCGUGCGCAGGCGGAUUGUUAAGCAAGAUGUGAAAUCCCCGGGCUUAACCUGGGAAUGGCAUUUUGAACUGGCAGUCUAGAGUGUGUCAGAGGGGGGUGGAAUUCCACGUGUAGCAGUGAAAUGCGUAGAUAUGUGGAGGAACACCAAUGGCGAAGGCAGCCCCCUGGGAUAACACUGACGCUCAUGUACGAAAGCGUGGGUAGCAAACAGGAUUAGAUACCCUGGUAGUCCACGCCCUAAACGAUGUCAACUGUUGUUGGGGGAGUGAAAUCCCUUAGUAACGAAGCUAACGCGUGAAGUUGACCGCCUGGGGAGUACGGUCGCAAGAUUAGAACUCAAAGGAAUUGACGGGGACCCGCACAAGCGGUGGAUGAUGUGGAUUAAUUCGAUGCAACGCGAAAAACCUUACCUACCCUUGACAUGUCCAGAAUCCUGCAGAGAUGCGGGAGUGCCCGAAAGGGAAUUGGAACACAGGUGCUGCAUGGCUGUCGUCAGCUCGUGUCGUGAGAUGUUGGGUUAAGUCCCGCAACGAGCGCAACCCUUAUCAUUAGUUGCUACGCAAGGGCACUCUAAUGAGACUGCCGGUGACAAACCGGAGGAAGGUGGGGAUGACGUCAAGUCCUCAUGGCCCUUAUGGGUAGGGCUUCACACGUCAUACAAUGGUCGGUACAGAGGGUUGCCAAGCCGCGAGGUGGAGCCAAUCCCAGAAAGCCGAUCGUAGUCCGGAUUGUUCUCUGCAACUCGAGAGCAUGAAGUCGGAAUCGCUAGUAAUCGCGGAUCAGCAUGCCGCGGUGAAUACGUUCCCGGGUCUUGUACACACCGCCCGUCACACCAUGGGAGUGGAAUCUGCCAGAAGUAGGUAGCCUAACCGCAAGGAGGGCGCUUACCACGGUGGGUUUCAUGACUGGGGUGAAGUCGGAACAAGGUA